rnacentral:tRNA from 1 species
GAUAAAAUGGCUGAUAUAGGCAAUAAAUUGUAAAUUUAUUUAUGAAUUAUUAUUCUUUUAUUA